rnacentral:rRNA from 1 species
GACCUGGCUGGGUGGUCCGCUUAACGGCGUGUACUGUUCGGCUGGGCCUUACCUCUUGGUGAGCCAGUGUGCCCUUUAUUGGUGUGCAUUGGGGAACCAGGACUUUUACCUUGAAAAAAUUAGAGUGUUCAAAACAGGCAUUAUUGCUUGAAUACAUUAGCAUGGAAUAACGGAAUAGGA